rnacentral:rRNA from 1 species
AGCGAACGCUGGCGGCAGGCUUAACACAUGCAAGUCGAGCGGGCACUUCGGUGUCAGCGGCAGACGGGUGAGUAACACGUGGGAACGUACCCUUCGGUUCGGAAUAACGCUGGGAAACUAGCGCUAAUACCGGAUACGCCCUUUUGGGGAAAGGUUUACUGCCGAAGGAUCGGCCCGCGUCUGAUUAGCUAGUUGGUGGGGUAAUGGCCUACCAAGGCGACGAUCAGUAGCUGGUCUGAGAGGAUGAUCAGCCACACUGGGGCUGAGACACGGCCCAGACUCCUACGGGAGGCAGCAGUGGGGAAUAUUGGACAAUGGGCGCAAGCCUGAUCCAGCCAUGCCGCGUGAGUGAUGAAGGCCUUAGGGUUGUAAAGCUCUUUUGUCCGGGACGAUAAUGACGGUACCGGAAGAAUAAGCCCCGGCUAACUUCGUG